rnacentral:misc_RNA from 1 species
GAUGAAGAACGUAGCAAAAUGCGAUAAGUAAUGUAAAUUGCAGAAUUCAGUGAAUCAUCGAAUCUUUGAACGCACAUUGCGCCCGCUGGUAUUCCGGCGGGCAUGCCUGUUCGAGCGUCAUUUCAACCCUCAAGCCCCCGGGUUUGGUGUUGGGGAUCGGCUCUGCCCUUCUGGGCGGUGCCGCCCCCGAAAUACAUUGGCGGUCUCGCUGCAGCCUCCAUUGCGUAGUAGCUAACACCUCGCAACUGGAACGCGGCGCGGCCAUGCCGUAAAACCCCAACUUCUGAAUGUUGACCUCGGAUCAGGUAGGAAUACCCGCUGAACUUAAGCAUAUCAAUAGCGGAGGA